rnacentral:lncRNA from 1 species
AUGAUCCUAAGUUUGCUACUUCACAUAUCUUUAUUAAUGAUAAGGAUUAUGAAUUCUCCGUCGACCCAGAGUUAAUUUCUUUGAUUGAAUCUGAUCCUUUCCAUGGUUAUGAAACUAAAUCUAUUGUGGCACAUCUUACUAAGUUGAAUGACAUAGCCACUUUUUUUACUCAUGAUGAGAAAACUCGCUAUUACUAUAUUCUCAAAUUAUUUCCGUUCUCAUUAAAUGGUGAUGCUAAAGCUUGGUACAAUACUCUUGCUCCUGGUUGUGUGCGUAGUCCCCAGGAUAUAAUUUAUUACUUCUCUGAAAAUAUUUCCCUGCUCAUAAGAAACAAGCUGUUAUGUGAUACGUCUCCAACGUAUCUAUAAUUUUUUAUUGCUCCAUGCUAUUAUGUUAACUAUUUUGGAUGUUAAUGGGCUUAUUUUUGCAGUUUUAUAUUAUUUUUGGGACUAACCUAUUAACCGGAGGCCCAGCCCAAAUUGUUAUUUUUUUGCCUAUUUUAGAGUUUCGCCGAAAAGGAAUAUCAAACGGAGUCCAAACGUAAUGAAACCUUCAGGAGCGUUAUUUUUGGAACAAACAUGAUCUAGGAGACUUGGAGUGGACAUCAAGCAAUCAACAAGGCGGCCACGAGGCAGGGGGGCGCGCCCACCCCCCUGGGCGCGCCCUCCACCCUCGUGCGCCCCUCAUUGCUCCACCGACGUACUUCUUCCUCCUAUAUUUAUCCAUGUACCCCCAAACAUCCAGGAGCACCACGAAAACCUAAUUCCACCGCCGCAACCUUCUGUACCCAAGAGAUCCCAUCUUGGGGCCUUUUCUGGAGCUCCGCCUGAGGGGGCAUUGAUCAUGGAGGGCCUCUACAUCAACUCCAUGGCCUCUCCGAUGAUGUGUGAGUAGUUUACUCCAAAUCUUCGGGUCCAUAGCUAGUAGCUAGAUGGCUUCUUCUCUCUCUUUGGAUCUCAAUACAAAGUUCUCCUCAAUUCUCUUGGAGAUCUAUUCGAUGUAAUCUUCUUUUGCGGUGUGUUUGUCGAGAUCCGAUGAAUUGUGGGUUUAUGAUCAAGUCUAUUUACGAACAAUAUUUGAAUCUUCUCUGAAUUCUUUUAUGUAUGAUUGGUUUAUCUUUGCAAGUCUCUUAAAAUUAUUAGUUUGGUUUGGCCUACUAGAUUGAUCUUUCUUGCAAUGGGAGAAGUGCUUAGCUUUGGGUUCAAUCUUGUGGUGCUCGAUCCCAGUGACAGAAAGGGAAACGACACGUAUUGUAUUGUUGCCAUCGAGGAUAAAAAGAUGGGGUUUAUAUCAUAUUGCAUGAGUUUAUCCCUCUACAUCAUGUCAUCUUGCUUAAGGAGUUACUCUGUUCUUAUGAACUUAAUACUCUAGAUGCAUGCUGGAUAGCGAUCGAUGUGUGGAGUAAUAGUAGUAGAUGCAGAAUCGCUUCGGUCUACUUGUCUCGGACGUGAUGCCUAUAUACAUGAUCAUGCCUAGAUAUUCUCAUAAUUAUUCGCUUUUCUAUCAAUUGUUCGAUAGUAAUUUGUUCACCCACCGUACUAUUAAUGCUAUCUUGAGAGAAGCCACUAGUGAAACCUAUGGCUCCCGAGUCUAUUUUCCAUCAUAUUAAUCUCCCGUCAAUAAGCUAUUUCUGGCACCAUUUAUUUUGCUUUAUUUACUUUCAAUCUAUAUCAUAAAAAUACCAAAAAUAUUUAUCUUAUUAUUAUCAUCUCUAUCAGAUCUCACUGUUGCAAGUGGCCGUGAAGGGAUUGACAACCCCUUUAUCGCGUUGGUUGCGAGGUUCUUAUUUGUUUGUGUAGGUACGAGGUGACUUGCGCGUGGUCUCCUACUGGAUUGAUACCAUGGUUCUCAAAAACUGAGGGAAAUACUUACGGUGCUUUACUGCACCACCCUUUCCUCUUCAAUGGAAAACCAACACAGUGCUCAAGAGGUAGCAAGAAGGAUUUCUGGCGCCGUUGCCGGGGAGAUCUACGCCAAGUCAAGACAUACCAAGUACCCAUCACAACUCUUAUCCUUUGCAUUACAUUAUUUGUCAUUUGCCUCUCGUUUUCCUCUCCCCCACUUCACCCUUGCCGUUUUAUUCGCCCUCUCUUUUCCGUUCGCCUCUUUUUCGCUUGCCUCGUCGUUAUGGCUAGUCCUUUAUCUACUCCCUUGUCUCCUAAGAAUGAAUUUCUUAAUUUUAAACAAAGGGAGGGAGAGAAUCUAAAAGAUGCUUGGUACAGAAUUUGCAAUGCGCAAAAUAGAUCUACUAGGAAGCAAUCUACUUCCGUUCUUCUUCGCAAUUUUUAUUUAGGCAUCACGCCUUGGAAUAGAUAUAUUCUUGAUACCAUUACCGAAGGAAAUUUCUUGGGUAGCCAUACUUUUGAUUCUUAUAAUGCUAUGAUAGAUUUGUUUGGCCCACCACCUCUUUUAGUUCAUGGAACUAUUUUAACUUUGGGACAUGUGAUGCAACGGCUUGAAAUUAUUGAAAAUAAAGUUGCCACCGUAGAGUAAAUUGAAAAUUUGGAUAGAAAGAUCCCUAAUCAAAUUACCCAAUACGGAUCUUAGGUAGGAGUUGCGCUUAAAUUUUUUAAAGAAAAGGGACCUAUGGUUAAAUAAAAGAUAGAUCAAGAUUCCACUAGAAUUGAUAAAAUUGAGGAUAUUAUUACCAACCUUGGGUCUGCCUUUUCUUCCGUGAAAAACACUCCUCCUAAUCAAGGUAGUCAGAGUCGGGAUUCGGAGUUGGAUCGAUUUUCCUCAGAUAGAAUCGAGUAGUAAGAUCGAGUCGUGGAAUCGAGGAUUCUACUAGAUUUACUCAAAUAAGAUAUUUUGUAUGCACACAAGAAAUUUACAUGGGUUCUAUAGAGUUUUGACACUAAAUAUGGAGCAAAGAACGUACACAUCAAUGCUAGUUGUAUUCCACUUCUUUUUAUGGCUAACCUACCAUCUAGCUCGCAUGUAUGGAACAGACGAGAGGGAAAUAUAUAGAACAUUUAAACCUUCAAUGCAUGAAAUUUACUUAAUUAGGUUCUUUUUAGAGUGCGUGAAUAGUCGAUCACUUGUCAAUCUGACCUGCAGUGCUAAUCCUUGAAGGAUCUUGCUCUCCUUCUCCGAUCAAUCUUGAAGCAUCCUCCUCUUCACACCAAUUCCAUCUGUCGACAAGCCUGAUCCUCCAUUUCGAUUUAGGGUUUCUGAGAGCUAGAUCAAAGGUGUCGGCGACUGAGCGUUUGGGAUUGGGAGGGGAAUAAAGGUCCAUGAGGUAUAUGAAGAGGGGUUUGGAUGAUGGCAUACUGUUCUUUUACAACUAAAGAAACGGCUUAGAUAAAUUAGUAGAAUUGGACAUAGUCCAUAGCAUAGUCGGGAUUGUAUAGUUUUGUACAGGAUUCUAUGAGUUGGAUCGCGACUCAACAUGGAUUCUACCUGAUCUGGAUUCAUAGUGGGAUUUGGAUCGACAUGCUUCUGUAGGGUCGUGAGGUCGUAGGAUUCUAGCAGUUGAGUCAGGAUUCUGACUACCCUUCUCCUAAUGCUAAUAUUGCUAAAUUGAUGUAUGUUCCUAAAAAUAAGGGUGAAACUUCUAGUAAGGAAAAUGCGGACCUCAAAUCCAUAAAUGUUCACCCCAAUUUUCUCACUAUUCUUCAGGAACCUUUUGCUACAAAUGAUUUUCUUGAUUUUGUGCCUAGGAGUUUGAUAAUUAAUAAAAAGAAAUAAACUCCUAAGAGUUUUAGGUGUCUUAUUGACGAAUUGCCCAGCAAAGAUGGAAAUACCUAGAUCUAUCCUCUCUUUUAUGCCUAUCUAGGGGCGUUAAACGAUAGCGCUUGUUGGGAGGCAACCCAAUUUUAUUUUUAUUCCUUGCUUUUUUCUCCUGUUUAGUAAUAACUAAUUUAUCUAGACUCUGUUUUGGUUGUGUUUUUCAUGUUUAAUUAGUGUUUGUGCCAAGUAGAACCGUUGGGAAGACUUGGGGAAAGUCUUUUUGAUCUUGCUGUAAAAAACAGAAACUUUAGCGCUCACGAGAAUUGCUGCCAUUUUUUAUUGGAGAGUGAUAUUUUGUUAAUUAUUUUUUCAAAUGAUUAAUAGAUAAAUUACUCACGUCCAGAAAUUUAUUUUAGAAUUUUGGGGGUUCUAAAAGUUUGCGUUAGUUACAGAUUACUACAGACUGUUCUGUUUUUGACAGAUUCUGUUUUUCGUGUGUUGUUUGCUUAUUUUGAUGAAUCUAUGGCUAGUAGAAGAGUUUAUAAACCAUAGAGAAGUUGGAAUACAGUAGGUUUAACACCAAUAUAAAUAAAGAAUGAGUUCAUUACAGUACCUUGAAGUGGUGUUUUGUUUUCUUUCGCUAACGGAGCUCACGAGAUUUUCUAUUUAAGUUUUGUGUUGUGAAGUUUUCAAGUUUUGGGUAAAGAUUUGAUGGAUUAUGGAACAAGGAGUGGCAAGAUACUAAGAUUGGGGAUGCCCAUGGCACCCCAAGGUAAAAUACAAGUACACCAAAAAGCCUAAGCUUGGGGAUGCCCCGGAAGUCAUCCUCUCUUUUGUCUUCGUUCAUCGGCAACUUUACUUGGAGCUAUAUUUUUAUUCGCCACAUGAUAUGUGUUUUCCUUGGAGCGUCUUGUAUGAUUUGAGUCUUUUCUUUUUAGUUUACCACAGUCAUCCUUGCUGUACACACAUUUUGAGAGAGACACACAUGAAUUGGAAUUUAUUAGAAUACUCUAUGUGCUUCGCUUAUAUCUUUUGAGCUAUAUAGUUUUUGCUCUAGUGCUUCACUUAUAUCUUUUAGAGCACGACGGUGGUUCUAUUUUAUAGAAAUAAUUUAUCUCUCAUCAUUCACUUAUAUUAUUUUGAGAGUCCUUUAGAACAACAUGGAAAUAAUAAAAACAUUCAUGUAAGUCAUUGAAUACUAAGAGAAGUUUGAUACUUGAUGAUUGUUUUGAGAUAUGGAGAUGAUGAUAUUAGAGUCAUGCUAGUUGAGUAGUUGUGAAUUUGAGAAAUACUUGUGUUGAAUUUUGUGAUUCCCGUAGCAUGCACGUAUGGUGAACCGUUAUGUGAUGAAGUCGGAGAAUGAUUUAUUUAUUGAUUGCCUUCCUUAUGAGUGGCGGUCGGGGACGAGCGAUGGUCUUUUCCUACCAAUCUAUCCCCCUAGGAGCAUGCGUGUAGUACUUUGUUUCGAUAACUAAUAGAUUUUUGCAAUAAGUAUGUGAGUUAUUUAUGACUAAUGUUGAGUCCAUGGAUUAUACGCACCCUCACCCUUUCACAUUUGCUAGCCUCUCUAGUACCGCGCAACUUUCGCUGGUACCAUAAACCCACCAUAUACCUUCCUCAAAACAGCCACCAUACCUACCUAUUAUGGCAUUUCCAUAGCCAUUCUGAGAUAUAUUGCCAUGCAACUUUCCACCGUUCUAUUUGCUAUGACCCGCUUCAUCAUUGUCAUAUUGCUUUGCAUGAUCAUGCAGUUGACAUCAUAUUUGUGGCAAAGCCACCAUUCAUAAUUCUUCCAUACAUGUCACUCUUGAUUCAUUGCAUAUCCCGGUACACCGCCGGAGGCAUUCACAUAGAGUCAUAUUCUGUUCUAAGUAUUGAGUUGUAAUUCUUGAGUUGUAAGUAAAAAGAAGUGUGAUGAUCAUCAUUAUUAGAGUAUUGUCCCAGUGAGGAAAGGAUGAUGGAGACUAUGAUUCCCCCACAAGUCGGGAUGAGACUCCGGAUGAAAAAAAGAAAAAAAUAGGCCAAAAAGAAAAAAAAGAAGGCCCAAAUAAAAAAAUAAAAAUGAGAGAAAAACAUAGAAGGGACAAUGUUACUAUCCUUUUUCCACACUUGUGCUUCAAAAUAGCACCCAUGAUCUUCAUGAUAGAGAGUCUCUUAUGUUGUCACUUUCAUAAACUAGUGGGAAUUUUACAUUAUAGAACUUGGCUUGUAUAUUCCAAUGAUGGGCUUCCUCAAAUUGCCCUAGGUCUUCGUGAGCAAGCAAGUUGGAUGCACAUCCACUUAGUUUCUUUUGUUGAGCUUUCAUACACUUAUAGCUCUAGUGCAUCCGUUGCAUGGCAAUCCCUACUCACUCACAUUGAUAUCUAUUGAUGGGCAUCUCCAUAGCCCGUUGAUACGCCUAGUUGAUGUGAGACUAUCUUCUCCUUUUUUGUCUUCUCCACAACCACCAUUCUAUUCCACCAUAGUGCUAUAUCCAUGGCUCACGCUCAUAUAUUGCGUGAAGAUUGAAAAAGUUUGAGAACAUCAAAAGUAUGAAACAAUUUCUUGGCUUGUUAUCGGGGUGGUGCAUGAUUUAAUAUUUUGUGUGAUGAAGAUAGAGCAUAGACAGACUAUAUGAUUUUGUAGGGAUAACUUUCUUUGGCCAUGUUAUUUUCAGAAGACAUGAUUUCUUAGUUAGUAUGCUUGAAGUAUUAUUAUUUAUAUGUCAAUAUUAAACUUUUAUCUUGAAUCUUCGGAUCUGAACAUUCAUGCCACAAUAAAGAAAAAUUACAUUGAGAAAUAUGUUAGGAAACAUUCCACAUCAAAAAUUCUGUUUUUAUCAUUUACCUACUCGAGGACGAGCAGGAAUUAAGCUUGGGGAUGCUGAUACGUCUCCAAUGUAUCUAUAUUUUUUGAUUGCUCCAUGUUAUUAUAUUAUUUAUUUUGGAUGUUAAUGGGCUUAUUUUUACACUUCUAUAUUAUUUUUGGGACUAACCUAUUAACCAGAGGCCCAGCCCAAAUUGCUGUUUAUUUGCCCAAUUUAGAGUUUCACCAAAAAGGAAUAUCAAACGGAGUCCAAAUGGAAUGAAACCUUUGGGAGUGUUAUUUUUGGAACAAACAUGAUCCAGGAGACCUGGAGUGGAUGUCAAGCAAUCAACGAGGCGGCCAUGAGGCAGGGGGCGCGCCCACCCCCCCUGGGUGCGCCCUCCACCCUCGUGGGGCCCUUGUUGCUCCACCGAUGUACUUCUUCCUCCUAUAUAUAUCCACGUACCCCCCAAACAUCCAGGAGCACCACAAAAACCUAAUUCCACCGCCGCAACCUUCUGUACCCAAGAGAUCCCAUCGGAGCUCCGCCGGAGGGGGCAUUGAUCACGGAGGGCCUCUACAUCAACUCCAUGGCCUCUCCGAUGAUGUGUGAGUAGUUUACUCCAGACCUUCGGGUCCAUAUCUAGUAGCUAGAUGGCUUGUUCUCUCUCUUUGGAUCUCAACACAAAGUUCUCCUUGAUUCUCUUGGAGAUCUAUUUGAUGUAAUCUUCUUUUGCAGUGUGUUUGUCGAGAUCCGAUGAAUUGUGGGUUUAUGAUCAAGUCUAUCUAUGAAAAAUAUUUGAAUCUUCUCUGAAUUCUUUUAUGUAUGAUUGGUUUAUCUUUGCAAGUCUCUUUGAAUUAUCAGUUUGGUUUGGCCUACUAGAUUGAUCUUUCUUGCAAUGGGAGAAGUGCUUAGCUUUGGGUUCAAUCUUGCGGUGCUCGAUCCCAGUGAUAGAAAGGGAAAUGACACGUGUUGUAUUGUUGCCAUCGAGGAUAAAAAGAUGGGGUUUAUAUCAUAUUGCAUGAGUUUGUCCCUCUACAUCAUGUCAUAUUGCUUAAGGCGUUACUCUGUUCUUAUGAACUUAAUACUCUAGAUGCAUGCUGGAUAGUGGUCGAUGUGUGGAGUAGUAGUAGUAGAUGCAGAAUCGUUUCGGUCUACUUGUCCUGGACGUGAUGCCUAUAUACAUGAUCAUGCCUAGAUAUUCUCAUAAUUAUUCGCUUUUCUAUCAAUUGCUCGACAGUAAUUUGUUCACCCACCGUACUAUUAAUGUUAUAUUGAGAGAAGCCACUAGUGAAACCUAUGGCCCCGGGGUCUAUUUUCCAUCAUAUUAAUCUCCCGUCAAUAAGCUAUUUCUGGCGCCGUUUAUUUUGCUUUAUUUACUUUCAAUCUAUAUCAUAAAAAUACCAAAAAUAUUUAUCUUAUUAUUAUCAUCUCUAUCAGAUAUCACUCUUGCAAGUGGCCGUGAAGGGAUUGACAACCCCUUUAUUGUGUUGGUUGCGAGGUUCUUAUUUGUUUUUGUAGGUACGAGGUGACUCAUGCGCAGUCUCCUACUGGAUUGAUACCUUGGUUCUCAAAAACCGAGGGAAAUACUUACGCUGCUUUACUGCACCACCCUUUCCUCUUCAAGGGAAAACCAACGUAGUGCUCAAGAGGUAGCAUUAUGCCUUUCUCUUUAUAUAAAAGACUUGAUUUGAAUAAACUCACACCUACUAAAAUAUCUUUGCAAAUGACUGACAAAUCAACUGCCAUACCUAUCGGUAUCUGUGAGGAUGUGCCCGUUGUUGUUGCUAAUGUUACUAUUUUGAUUGACUUUGUUAUACUUGAGAUGCACAAGGACGACAACAUGUCAAUUAUCCUUGUUAGACCCUUCUUGAAUACUGCAAGGGAUGUUAUUGAUUGCAAUAAAAGCAAGGUCACUUUUCGUAUCAAUGGUAAUGAGCCUACGGUGCACUUUCCGAAGAAACAAUUCCAAGUGAAUGGUAUUAAUGUUAUUGAAAAAUCUCUGACAAUCACUAUUGGAAGUUUUCAACUACCUCUACCUACUGUUGAAAAGAAAUAUGAAAUGCUUAUUGUUGGGGACAUUCAUAUCCCCAUUGAGGUAACUUAGUGAUUUACGAAAGUUCUUCGGUUUCAUGCUAAUCGAAAGUGCUUAUUAAUAAGACCUGAUCAACCUUAUUAAUGGAGCAUUUUUUAGAGGUAUGAAGUUGAUAAAUUUAGUAAGCACUACCUUCUGUCCCUACUUUUUGUUUUCUGUUUUUAUUAGUUAAAUAAAAUAAAAUGCCAUGUUUUGUCUGUUUUCUGAAUUUCACGUGCAAUAAAAAAUGACCCAAAAAUAAAAGUUCUGAGAAUGCUCUGAAAAUUUAAUACGAUUUUUUUCUGAAUAUUUAAGAAUUUCUGGUGCAAAUAAUUCAAAGGGAGGUGCACCAGGUGGGCAAAACCCACCUGGGCGCGCCAGGACUCCCAAGCGCGCCCUGGUGGGUUGUGGGCCCCACGUGGGCCCCCUCACUUAUCUCUUCAUCCCACAUCAUCACCUACCUCCAGAAAAAAUCAUCAUUGCUCUCUCUCUCUCUCUCUCUCUCUCUCUCGUAUUCUUGCUCUCAAACCCGCGGAUUUCGAUCUCUUUGCUUGAAGCUCCGUUUCUGAAACUGUUUCGAGGGAUUGUUGCUUGGUAUGUGUCUCCACCGUUUGACCAAUUAGUUUUUGUUUUAGCAGUUUAUAUUUUGAAUAAUUAGCUACUCUUGGUGCUGUUGUAGAUGAGCUUGCAUGUUGAAUUCUUAGAGUUCUAAGUAGUAUGAAUCAUUGUUCAAGAAUUCAUCUGAUUAAUUAGUUAACGGGCCAGUUAAUCGCUACUUGUAGGAUGGCCCAAUCGAAUAGCACCUAUUCGUCGCGUUAACUUGUCAGUCCGAUUAACUUACCUAUGAGACCGAUUAAUAGGUUGUCAGGCUGAUUAAUCGUUGUUGGCCCGUUAAUUUAGGGGCAAACAAAGCCCAAAAUUUUGGCCCUAACCCCUCCCAUUCCCCUCUCGCUCCUCAUUACGCAGGGUUCGACAAAAUCGUAACAUAUUUGGUAUAUUACAUAGUUGAGAGCAUGAGAGUACAGUAUAAUACCUUAAAAAUUAGAUAUAUGUUAGCAUAAUCUUAUUUAAUUUACCGAUUAAUGGUCGACUGAUUAAUCCAGUUAAUUGGCCGAUUCGCCUAUUAAUCGCUACUCCCAAGCCGACCGAGCAGCUACCAGUUACCGACUUCCUUACCAAUGGUUUGAAUGCUUGCUAUGGCCUCUAUGCAUCCCUAUGAGUAGUUGCUAUCAAUUUCGUGGAGUUUUGUUGGGAAAAAUUUUGUGGACUAAAAUUUCAGAAUUUUGUUCAUAGGAAAAAGAUGAAUAUCUUUAGGAAGUUUGCUUCCAAGAAGAACUCCAAGGGAGUUAUUGGGGAGUCAUCUGACAGUGAUCUCCAUAAGCAGAGGUUGGUGGAAGUACGGCCAUGCGAAUGGCCGCAUAUCUCGUUCAUGGAAGAGGGUGGAAUCCUGCAAGAGUUUACACAAUAUGCUGCUAAUGCCGGCCUCACUGACUUCAUCGCAUCUGAAUGUGAACAGUGUCAUCUCCUCACAAACACCUUUGUUCGAAGUUUUAAUUUCCUUCCUAGGAAUAAUCCUCCAGAGGUGCAAUUCAAUUUAUAUGCUGAACCCCAUCAAAUACCUCUUACUAAAUUUUGUGAAAUAUGCUUGCUUCCUGCUAAUGGUGGUUUGGUAGAGCCUAGGGUGGCAGAGUUUGAGACCUUUUAUCGUACCUUGACAGUGGGAGAUGAGAGAGGGGUGUCGGGUAUCACUGCCGUUGGCUUGCAUUUUCCUGUUGUUUAUUAUUUUGCUCUUUUUAUUGCAAAAUGCUUGCUUGCUAGAGAGAAGGUGGGUGCACUCAGUUCACCAGACCUUACUGUUUUACGUCGUGCACUAGAGGGCAACAACACUUAUAUCUUGGGGGCUAUUGUGGCUCGUCGCCUUCACAUUAAUAAAUCUAAGGGUAAGAUACAUGGAGGUAUUUUUGCCACUCGUUUGGCAGCUCGCUUCAAUGUUGAGAUCACCACCGGUUUACUGCUAUCUUAUCCUAACAUCCCUAUUCCAUAUAACCUGGUUUUUAGUGUGAGAACUCGUGAUAUUAUUCCAUUGCCUGCCCCUGCUUUUUUUGAUUCUGUUGCCAGGGGCCGAUAUAGGAUUAUGCUUGCGGAUAUCAUCGCCUACCGGAGCGACUAGGCCGCAGCAGAGGAGGAGCUUCAGCAGUGGGAUCCAUGGAUGCCCGCUCCUCAGCACCCCGACUACUAUCCAGGCUACUGACUGCUUACCAAGUUAGGCCAAAAGCCUAAACUUGGGGGAGUACGUAUUCCCACCGACAUUACAUUCAUGUUCACACAUUUCAUUCCAGUUGUCGGUGUCCACAGUUUUUCAUUGUAUCAUCCAUGUUAAAUUUAUUUUCUCACUUCCUUCGUGUGUGUUUGAAAAACCUUAGAAAAAACCAAAAAAAUAGUUGUAGUUAGUUUACUUUCUAUGCAUGCUUAGCUGCAGCACUAAAAAGAAAACCCAAAAAUAUUUCCUUGGUCUUAUUUUGCUUGUUGGGAGCUUUCCCAUGCAAAUAGUUUUUCUCAUUUUUGCUUUUCCCUUUUAUUUGCUUGUUCAAGAAACCAAAAACUCCAAAAAUAUUUCUGUGUUUUUUUCUGAAUUUCUUUUCUUUUUAUUCGAGUUGUACCGAGGAGAAGACCACGAUGAAAAUGUUGAAUGGCUCUCAUAUGCAUUAUUGUUGAUCUAACAAAGAGCCCAUAUUACUUUGUCUUCUCCUGUUGAAUAAAAUGUUUGCAGAUUCCAGCUUAGUCCACGGCACUCUUGCACUAUUAUUAUUUUCACAUCGUUCGGUCGUGCAAGUGAAAGGCAAUAAUAAUGAUAUUUAAUGAACUGGCCAUGGUAGAGAGAAACUGGUAUGAACUCGACUUGUUCCAUUUUUGUAAAUAUGUUUAACCUAGUAUCCAUGAUUCAGCUCAUUAUGAUUAAACAUGUUUGCAAUGACAAUUAGAGAUUAUAGUUCCUCAUGCCAUGCAUAAGUAGCUAGGAGUGGAUAAUGAUUUAUCUUGGAUAUAAACAUUACGUUAAAAUAAUUGUGAUGUAGUAUGAUGAUUGGGUAUUCUCCUCUGAAUGUUCGAGUGGUUUGACUUGGCACAUGUUCAUGCAUGUAGUUGAAUCAAAACCAACAUAGCCUCUAUGAUAUUUAUGUUCAAGGUGUUCAUAUCCUACUCAUGCUAGUGCCCAAUGUUACUUAUGCAUAAUGCAUGUUCAUGACCGUUGUUGCUCUCUAGCUGGCCGCUUCCCAAUCUAUUUGCUACCCUUUGCCUCUACUAAGUGGGAAUUUUUCUUGUACAUUAAAAACCUUUAACCCAAGUUAUUCCCGAUGAGUCCACCAUACCUACCUAUAUGCGGUAUUACCCUGCCGUUCUAAGUAAAUUUACAUCUGCCACCUCUAAAACUCCAAAUAAAUAUCCUUUUUGUGUGCCCGGAUUGUUCAUGGAAUGACAGGAGGUGGUCGGUAUCUUCCAUGCUAAGUGGGUUAUUCUCAGGUCGAGUGUUUAUUCACUCGCCAUCGCACGAGAAAAGGGCGGUAAUAGGGAUGCCCAGUCCCAAACUACAAACAGAAAAAGCUUACAAAUAAUCAAACUAAAACUGCCGAUGGAGUCAAAACAUUUACUUUUAUCGCUUGGGAACCGCCACUAGCGUGCUUAGAAUGGAAGACAUUGAUAACUCAUUGUCGUGAAGUAAAUGAGAAGGGUGCAUGUCUCAAAAUAUCAUUUACCUCUAUUUUAAAAUUUUGAGCUCUGGCACCGCUGCAAAUCACUGUUUGCCUUUGUGAAGGGACUAUCUAUUUACUUUUAUGUUGUGUCAUCACCUUCUAAAACAAGCGCCCGAACGUGAGAGCACUACUGUCAUGCUGAUGCAUUGUGUAUAGCUAAUGUUGGGUGCAUCAUGACUGGAUCUUUUCUACCGAAUUACAAUGUUUAGUCGCUACUUGAACUUUGGAGGUGCUCUGCAUUUAUGUUUUGCGGUCUCGAAAAGGGCUAGCGAGAUAGCACUAUUGUCAUAUUAUAUCAUGGUUGUUUUGACAACGUAUUGCUGUUUGAGAUAUCUUAUUAUUGCUCGCUAGCUGAUUAUGUUAUUGAUAUGAGUUAAUAUAAUUUUUAAGAGUUAUUGUCGGCAUGGUUAGUUAUAAUAGUGGCUGAAAACCUGGGUGUUGUUUAAGCUUAUUUAUGCAAAUAAGAGAAAAAGAGUUCGUAAAAGUUUUUCUUUUUCACUUUCAGUUUAUCAACUGAAUUGCUUGUGGACAAGAAAAGAUUUAAGCUUGGGGGAGUUGAUACGUCUCCAAUGUAUCUACUUCUCCUAAUGCUUUUCCUCUUAUUUUGGACUCUAAUUUGCAAGAUUUGAAUGAAACUAACUCCGGACUAACGCUGUUUUCAGCAGAACUACCAUGGUGUUGUUUUUGUGCAGAAAUAAAAGUUCUCGAAAUGGAACAAAACUUUGUGAGGAUUUUUUAUAUCAAUAAAGAGAAUUUAUGGAGCCAAGAGUCGCCUAAGGGGGGCACCUGGGUGGGCACAACCCACCAGAGCGCGCCUGCCCCCAGGCAUGCCCAGGUGGGCUGUCCCCAUCUGGUGGCCCCACGGACCCUAAAACUGACGCUAUAAAAUCCCAUCAUUCCAGAAAAAAAUAGGGAGAAAGAAUUAUUGCGUUCCACAAGACGGAGCCGCCGCCACCUCCUUUAUUCAUCGGGAGGCCAGAUCUGGAGUCCGUUUGGGGCUCCAGUGAGGGGGAUCUUCGAUCUUCGUCAUCACCAAUUCCAUGAUGCUCCCCACUGGGAGUGAGUAAUUCCUUCGUAGGCUCGCUGGUCGGUGAGGAGUUGGAUGAGAUUCAUCAUGUAAUCUAGUUAGUUUUGUUAGGGCUUGAUCCCUAGUAUCCACUAUGUUCUGAGAUUGAUGUUGCUAUGACUUUGCCAUGCCUAAAACUUGUCACUUUGGGCCCGGGUGCCAUGAUUUCAGAUCUGAACUGUUUAUGUUAUCACCAUAUAUAUCCAUGUUCUAGAUCUUAUCUUGCAAGUUAUAGUCACCUACUACGUGUUAUGAUCCGGGAACCCCGGAGUGACAAUAGUCGGGACCACUCCCGGUGAUGACCGUAGUUUGAGGAGUUCAUGUAUUCACCAUGUGUUAAUGCUUUGUUCCAGUACUCUAUUAAAAGGAGGGCUUAAUAUCCCUUAGUUUCCAAUUGGACCCCGCUGCCGCGGGGGGUAGGACAAAAGAUGUCACGCAAGUUCUUUUCAUAAGCAUGUAUGACUAUUUAUGGAAUACAUGCCUACAUUAUAUUUAUGAACUGGAGCUAGUGCCAUAUCGACCUAGGUUAUAACUGUCACAUGAUGAAUAUCAUCGAACAAAUUACCGAUCCAAUGCCUACGAAUUUAUGUUAUACUGUUCUUGCUAAGUUACUACUGCUAUCAUUACUAUCGCACUUGCUACAAAACUACUGUUAUCAUUGUUGCUAUUACUAUUGAUGCUCCUACUAUUAUCAAAACUAUCAUAUUACUUUGCUACUGAUCAUGUUGUUGCAGAUAAUUAAUCUUCAGGUGUGGUUGAAUUGACAACUCAGCUGCUAAUACCUUCAAAUAUUUUUUGGCUCCCCUUGUGUCAAAUCUAUAAAUUUGGGUUGAAUACUCUACCCUCAAAAACUGUUUCGAUCCCAUAUACUUGUAGGUUAUCAAUGGCACCUGCAACUUUACUUAGAAUGGUAGGGUAAUUCCGCAUAUAGGUAGAUCAGUGGACUCAUCUAGAAUAACUUUGGUUUAAGGUUUGGAUGCACAAGCAAUAUUCCCACUUAGUAGUUCCGUUUGACCUCCAUAAAUUCCCAAAAUUCCAGAAACCGCCAGAGCGAGACCAAAAACAAUUAUUCCGCCACUGCAAGCCUCUAUUCUUCCGUGAUCCCACCAGGAGGCCUCCACUGGUACUCUAUCGGAGAGGGAUUAGAUCACGGAGGGCUUCUACAUCAACCUUGCUGCACCUCCGAUGAUGUGUGCGUAGCUCCCCACAGACCUACAUGUCUAUAGUGAUUAUCUAGAUAUAUCUCUCUCUAUCUCUAUCUCCCUCUCUUCAAUUUUCAAUACAAUGUUCUCCUCGGAGUAUUAUUCGAUGCAAUCUUCCUUUGCGGUGUGUUUGUUGAGAUCCGAUGAAUUGUGGGUUUAUGAUCAGAUUAUUCAUUGAAAGUAAUUGAGUUAUAUUCUGAACUUUAUCAUGUGUGAUUGUUAUAGCUAUGUAAUGCUUUAUGAUCUAUGAGUUUUCUUUGGCCAAGUUGAUGAUUAGAUCUUUAGUGGAAGUGGUGCAUAGUAGUAGGUUCAAUCUUGCGGUGUCCUCAGCUCGUGACAGAAGGGGCAACGAGGCAUGUAUUUGUAUUGUUGAUACUAAGGGUAAAACGACAGGGUUCGAUCAUAUUGAUUGGUCUUAUUUUGUCUAUAUUAUGUCAUCAUGCUCCAAGCAUUACUCUGUUUGUUAUGAACUUAAUACGUAGAGAGGCAAGCAUAGAAGCGCUCUUGAAGUGGAGUAAUAGUAGUACAUGCAGAUGGAUGUCGGUCUGCUUAUUACGGACGUAAUGCCUAUGUACUGGUCAUGCCAUGAAUAAACGUCAUAACUAUGCAUUUUUCUAUCAGUUACCCAACAAUAAUUUGUCUACCCACUGUAUGCUAUGUUCUUGAGAGAGAUGUCUCUAUUGAAAACUAUGGUCCCCGGGUCUAUUGAUCAUAUUUACUAAAACCCUAAAAAGCUCGCUGGAAUUUAUUUACUUUUAUUUCCUUUUGCAAAUUAUAUCACUAUCAGGAUUAAUCCUUGCAAUUAACGAGUACAAGGGGAUUGACAACCCUCUUGUCUAUGGUGGGUGCAAGUAUUUUGUUUGUGUGUGUAUGUACGGUCGACCUUUGUCUGUGUGAAUCGCCUAUUGGUUCGAUAACCUUGGUUCUCUAUUGAGGGGAAUACUAUCUGCUAUUACAUUGCUUAUCCCUUCUUCUUCGAGGAAAAACCCAACGCAGCUCACAAGUGACAAUGCUCCAUAAUUAUUGUUUGCAUAAGGCCUAUAGAUCGAUAUUGUUAAGCAAAGAUAACGAGAGGAGGCGGUAAAUAUGCUCAGUAAUUGCCGACUGGACAACAUAAACAUGGAUAACAAGAGGAAGGAGUAAAUAUGCUCCAUAAUUUUUCAUGGCAUAAGACCCAAGAAGCGAUAAUGUCAAAUAUAAAUAAACAAAGGAAUGACUGAUUUACUAUGUAAUUAUAGGUAGGAUAAGAACUAUGGAGCGAUAACAUGUAGAAGGAGUAAAGAUGCUCCAUCAUAGAUAAGACUCACAGAGCGAUAACAUGGAAUAGAGAUAACUGGAGGAAAGAGUAAAUACUCUCCAUAAUUCUCGGUAGGAUAGGACCCAUGAAACAAUACCGUGGAGCAAUGAUAAUGUGGCGAAGGAGUAUAUCUACUCCGUAUUUAUCGGUAGGAUUAUCUAUCCAGCGUCAAUGUGAAAUAAAAUAAAGAAUAAAUAUGAUCUGUAACUAGUGGUAGAAAGAUAGCGGUAGGAAAUAAGGAAUACAUUCCAUAAUUAUCGGUAGGAUACGACCCACAAAGUGAUAACGUGGAGCAAGGAUAAGGGGGAGGAAGGUGUAAAUGUGCUCCGUAAUUAUCGGUAGGAUAAGACUUAUGGAGCGAUAACAUGUAGAAGGAGUAAAGAUGCUCCAUCAUAGAUAAGACUCACAGAGCGAUAACAUGGAACAGGUAAAUACUCUCCAUAAUUCUCGGUGGGAUAGGACCCAUGAAGCAAUACCGUGGAGCAAUGAUAAUGUGGCGAAGGAGUAUAUCUACUCCGUAUUUAUCGAUAGGAUUAUCUAUCCAGCGUCAAUGUGAAAUAAAAGAAAAAAUAAAUAUGAUCUGUAACUAGUGGUAGAAAGAUAGCGGUAGGAAAUAGGGAAUAUAUUCCAUAAUUAUCGGUAGGAUAUGACCCGCAAAGUGAUAACGUGGAGCAAGGAUAAGGGGGGGGGGGUUGUAAAUGUGCUCCGUAAUUAUCGGUAGGAUAAGACCUAUGAAGCGAUAACAUGUAGAAGGAGUAAAGAUGCUCCAUCAUGGAUAAAACUCACAGAGCGAUAACAUGGAACAUGUAAAUACUCUCCAUAAUUCUCGGUAGGAUAGGACCCAUGAAGCAAUACCGUGGAGCAAUGAUAACGUGGCGAAGGAGUAUAUCUACUCCGUAUUUAUCGGUAGGAUUAUCUAUCCAUCGUCAAUGUGAAAUAAAAGAAAGAAUAAAUAUGAUCCAUAACUAGUGGUAGAAAGAUAGCGAUAGGAAAUACGGAAUAUUCCAUAAUUAUGGGUAGGAUACGACCCACAAAGUGAUAACGUGGAGCAAGGAUAAGGGGAGGAAGGUGUAAAUGUGCUCCGUAAUUAUUGGUAGGAUAAGACCUAUGGAGCGAUAACAUGAAGCAAAAAUAACGGGAGGAAGGAGUACAUUAUGUGCAGAUACUAUGAUUUCUUAUUACCCGGUAGCCAAAAAAGCACACACUAAUAUCUAAAACUGAUCUGGUACAUUUUACAAGAAAUGUGAGCUGGCCAUAGGAUUUCACACCGUGCCCCCGCGCGAGAAGCGUGAGCUCGCCCUUGUCGUGCUCAUUCCGUGGAACACGAAUGCCGAACCUGGUCAGUGGCGCGGGCGCACGGGGCCAAGUAGUUGGAUCACAAAACCAUGGAUUCCAACCGUGCAUUUUCGUUUCUGAUGAUGAAAGAUUUUGGACCCUGAUAAAUCCCGAGCAUUCAGAUUUGUACCAGCUCAUUUUUUUUGUUAGAAAAUGUUAAAUCCUGAACGUUGGAUUUUAAGCAUGACAAUCCAAACGUUUUCAUCGCGGGAACCAAAGUUUGCCUACCUCGCGGGAACCAAAGUUGCGAUGAAAACGUUCGGAUUGCCAUGCUUAAAAUCCGACGUUCAGGAUUUAACAUUUUCGAAGGUUAUCUGUGUGUCCUCAAGUCGCUCAUCCUCCUCCUUCAGAAAAGAAAGCUAGGGUCCUGCCUCUCGCCAGCGCCGCCGCAGGUCCGCCUUGUCUCCGGUGGCCUUAGGGCCAUGGAGGCGCGAUGGAUCCUGCCAAGGGCGGGCGGGAGGGCUCCGUUUUUAGUCGUUUUUUCUGUCUUGUUAGGGUUUGUGUCCUGCAUAGGAAGGUGAGACGACGGCGGCUCCCUGAAGAUGGAAUAGAGGUCUCCCGGCCGAGCUCCCGUUCCAGUGAUGCGUCUAGCAUUCGUUGGUGGGCGUGUGGAGGCGUGUCCCCGGCGGAUCUAUCUUUGGUGGAUUUGCUCGGAUCUCGUCGUUGUUCGUCUACGUUCGUGUGCCUUUGGGUUGAAUCCUUCCGACCUAUGUUAUUCUUCAUCGGCGGCGGUUGCUGUCCUGGUGCGCUGGUCCUAUGAGACCUUAGUACGACGACUUUCCGACUGUCUACUACAACAAGUUGUGCCCGACUCCGAUGAUGAAAGGGUGAUGACGGCGGCGCCUUCGGCUCGCUUCAGUGCUUGUAGUCGUCGCUAGGUCGUCUACGAUUCUGGAUGUAAUUUUUAUUUUUGAUGUCCGUUGUACUGUCAUGAUUGAAGAUCAAUAGAUCGGAAGUUAAAAAAAACAUUUUCAAAGAUUUUUUACGCGAGACACUGACCCGCUCCCUGCUGCUGCGCUGAUCCAUUCACCAACCCGUUGUGUGUGGGAGGGGGGAACCGGGAAAGUAAAGAACAGUCAGAGAUGGUGGAAAACCAAGCAAGCAAUGGUAGCAUAGCAUGUCCCGAGGGAGGGGAUGGGUGGGGGACAAGACAAGUCCUCGUCGUCGCUCACCUGAACAAAAUCCACACACCUCGCUUUCUUUACCUGCGGGGGAUGGGCCGAUCCGCAUAGAUUUUUUUUUUCCCAUUAACGCCUUGGUCGCUCUCGUGGUCACAUCACUUAAUGCCAGGUCACGCCCCUAACAGCAACACGAACCCCGUCCCUCCCUCCCUCCCUCCCUCCUCGGAAAAUCAAUGCCGCAGCGCAGCGCCUCCCCCAUCCAUCCACAUAUCUUUCUUCAGACUCGUCAACGCCAAUACAGAUCAGAUCAGAUACACUCCUCCUACCUGCGCUACAUACACCUAGAUGGCUACGGGGAAUGUGGUUGAGCAAAUCACAUGACAUCGUGGUACUCUCUGAUCGUCACUGCCAAGUCAGCGCGUGUUUGAGAAUUCAGAUCCACGGUACCACACGAUCUCUAAUCUGCCCUGCUAAAUUAUCACUGCCAAGUCGCUCAGAUGAUCAGGUGGGCAAGAUACUGUCAGCGUGGUUGGGAAUGCCUGCUUCACACCUGCUAGUGAAUAGUGUGACGCGUUCGCGCAUUGGGAGAGCAGGGAGAUACUGUUGAUUUGAACAUACCCCCAAUUAAGCACCACUGUACGCGCACAAUUCAACAUGGUUUUCUUUUUUUUGUUCUUCUCUCAGGCUACAGGAAACAGUAAGAUUUUAAAAUGGAGCAGGGAAGAUUUACAAAUGGUUACUGGUACAAGAAACUCCAAUUUGGCUUGCUCUGAAUCAUGAUCCUAGCAGCAGCGGCAGCAGAAUGUAAGAGCAACUAGUGCAACCUUUGCUACACAUGUUCAUCCUCCUGAAGCCCGAAGGACGAGGAGCUAAAUUGUCAUCAUGCCGGUACAAACAAACUUUAAAUUCACCUCCAAGCUCAGGGUGGGUGGGUCCUUGACAUUAUUCAAUCCUGCCUAUAUCAUCUCUACUCGAGUCGACUCACCUAUGCAAUCUGCAACGGUAGAUGAUUGCAUCACUUGUUUCGCGGGAUCACGGCUCAAGUGUCAGUCGCCGGGAUGAGCAGAGCAGACUGGCCCCUGGAGCCUGUAUCCUCCGCGCAAUUCGCAAGGAUUCAAUUUUCUUUCCUCAGACAACCAGCAACAUGAAUGAAAGUACUUACUAGCAGGCACCAAAUUUUCACAACUUUUUUACCGUCUAAAAUAAUUGUCUCUAGGGCUAAGCUUUUAUGUCAUCAACAGCAAAGAACAAGGAGAGAACGGGAACAGCAAUGACAAAUAUCCGCAACACAAGAACAGAACAGAAGCACUGGCCAAGAGAGAGAGAGAGAGAGAUAGAAAAUAUGGAUGGAUUGGAUGGAUGGAUGGGUGGGUGGCGGAGCGCUAAUUCCCAAGAAUUCUUGGCCUUCUAUGAUAUGACGAUGCGGUGAAUCUUGCUGGGAUUCCAUGCCGAUCUGUGGGAAGUAGCGGCGGCGGCAGAGGGGAAA